rnacentral:rRNA from 1 species
GACGAACGCUGGCGGCGUGCUUAACACAUGCAAGUCGAACGGAAAGGCCCUGCUUUUGUGGGGUUCUCGAGUGGCGAACGGGUGAGUAACACGUGAGUAACCUGCCCUUGACUUUGGGAUAACUUCAGGAAACUGGGGCUAAUACCGUAUAGGAGCUCCUGCUGCAUGGUGGGGGUUGGAAAGUUUCGGCGGUUGGGGAUGGACUCGCGGCUUAUCAGCUUGUUGGUGGGGUAGUGGCUUACCAAGGCUUUGACGGGUAGCCGGCCUGAGAGGGUGACCGGCCACAUUGGGACUGAGAUACGGCCCAGACUCCUACGGGAGGCAGCAGUGGGGAAUAUUGCACAAUGGGAGGAAGCCUGAUGCAGCAACGCCGCGUGCGGGAUGACGGCCUUCGGGUUGUAAACCGCUUUCGCCUGUGACGAAGCGUGAGUGACGGUAAUGGGUAAAGAAGCACCGGCUAACUACGUG